rnacentral:rRNA from 1 species
UAGGGAAUCUUGGACAAUGGGCGAAAGCCUGAUCCAGCCAUGCCGCGUGAGUGAAGAAGGCCUUAGGGUUGUAAAACUCUUUUAGCGGGGAAGAUAAUGACGGUACCCGCAGAAUAAGCCCCGGCUAACUUCGUGCCAGCAGCCGCGGUAAUACGAAGGGGGCUAGCGUUGUUCGGAAUUACUGGGCGUAAAGCGCACGCAGGCGGACUGAUCAGUCAGGGGUGAAAUCCCGGGGCUCAACCCCGGAACUGCCUUUGAUACUGUCAGUCUCGAGUCCGGGAGAGGUGAGUGGAAUUCCUAGUGUAGAGGUGAAAUUCGUAGAUAUUAGGAAGAACACCAGUGGCGAAGGCGGCUCACUGGCCCGGUACUGACGCUCAGGUGCGAAAGCGUGGGGAGCAA